rnacentral:lncRNA from 1 species
UUUUUGGUAUAUCCUCAAUAUCUCUGUAUUUAUAAAAAUAAUGACCGAUAUAUCUUGAAAAUAAAUAUCAUAUCUUCUACCGUAUUUAUAAAAUUUCUUCGAAAAUAUCAAAUAUCUCUGAUAUAUAAGAUAUUUAAGGUAUGUCUCUAAUACUUUUUUCUUUUUUUCUUUAAAAAAAAGAGUUAAUCAUGACUUGAUAAAAAUAGACAUUACAUACUCUAUUGUUACUGUCUACACUAUCGUUACUAUCUACAGAUAGACAAAUAAAAACGAGUUACGACUCAUAAUAAUACAUAAAAUAGACUACUCAUUAAUCAUAUUCACACUACUAGAAAAAGUCACUUACACUACAAAAAGUCACUUACACUACAAAAAGAAAGGCUUUAGCCGACGAAAAUAAAAAACCAGGCCGACGAAUUAUUUUUUCGUCUGCUAAAGUGGACUUUAGCCGACAAAAUUUCCCUUCGUCGGCUAUGGUCAACUUUAGCCGACGAAAAAUAUAAUUUCGUCGGCUAAAGUGCCUUAUAUUUGCAGAUCUAGACAUCAACUCAUCUGGGAAAAAAAACUAUACGUAAAACCUUCAAACAUAAAAAAGUCGUGCAAUAAGAUAUGACCAAAAUGGUGAAAUACGUCUACAGUUGAAAAAUCACGGUAUUCCGGUAAAGUCUCGGUGCCGAUAGUUGCGGUCAAUGCAAUUUACCCUUAUUAUUCACUAUGCUGCAAAUUUGGCGUUUGGUGUCCGAUUGACUAUUGUGAUACCUUUCCGGAAGCGUAACGGCCCUACGAGUCAAACUCAUCGCUAAUGUCAUGACAUAUGGGCCUUUUUGGCCAUCCGAGUCUGUUUAGGGCUUCAAAAUGUAGUUUUCUUAUUUCCGAUUAGAGUUGACCGUUUCGAUCGAGCCCUUAACGUUGUCGAAUCCAGUUGAAUUUUUUACCAAAGACAUCUUUCGUCAUAAUGAUCAUAUCUGACGGUCGAAUUUUGGUUUGUGAAUUUUAGUCAUCGGAAUCACAACGUGUCUACUAUUUACCGUUAUUAUUCCCUAUAGAGAACCCUAUCGUCGGAAGGUAAAUGUCUCAAAAUUUUUAUAUGGGCAGUUGCGUCUCAUCUACGUGAGAGUUUUUUGUGUAGAAGGUUUGACCAAACUACAUAAUAUAGAGGGAGAUAUGAGCGUUUUCGUGUGAUAAAUGACGAUUGAUUAGGGUUGACCGUUUGGAUCGAGCCCUUAACAUUGUCGAAUCCAGUUGAAUUUUUUACCAUAGAAAUAUUUCGGCAUAAUGAUCAUAUCUAACGGUAAAAUUUUGGUUUGUGAAUUUUAGUUAUCGGAAUCACAACGUGUCUACUAAUGUUGUAUAAUUUGUUUAGUAGGUUAUACAACUUUGUGAACCAACUCUACAUAGGAUGAAAAAUUAUCAAAAAUCUCGUGAAAUAAGAUGUGUUCAUAAUGGUGAAAUACGGCUAUGGUUCAAAAAUCACGUAAAUCGGGUAACGUCUCGGUGCCGAUACUAGCGGUCAACCCUAUUUACAAUUAUUAUUCCCUAUGGGGAGCCCUAUCGUCGGAAGGUAAAUGUCUCAAAAAUUUUAUAUAGGCCGUUGCGUCUCAUCUACGUGAAAGUUUUUCGUGUGGAAGGUUUGACCAAACUACGUAAUAUAGAGGGAGAUAUGAGCGUUUUCGUGAAUAUUAAAAAAGUCGUCAGCUAAGGUCGAAAAAUUUUCAAAAUUUUUUGGCAGUAAACCAAAUUUGGAGGAAAAUUUUCAAAGGACUUUAGCCGACGAAAAUAUAUGAAAAGUCGUCGGCUAAAGUCGAAAAAUUUUCAACCAACAUUUUUUUGCGGUUAACCAAUAUUUUUAAAAGAGUUUAGCCGACGAAAAUAAAUAAUUUCGUCGGGUAAAGUUCUUUAUAUAGGAGUUUUACCGGAGGUGGAUGGUAAGAAGUCAGAAAAUCCGAAAAAGUUCAGGAUUUUCUUCUCGGCCUAGCUUCGCAGUCAAGCCACCGGAGACCGCCACACUUGUCCCAAAAGCUUCGCCGUCGUCUCUACUUCAUUGCUGGACAGGUGGUGUAUAGAGUGGCGCCGCCGUGAGGGAUAAAUCGAGCUCCAAAACUCCGCCGGUUCGGAUUUGGUGUCGAUUGAAUUUCUCCUUGCUCAGGUCACCAUUUGGUGAGUUCUAUAUAUGGAUAAGUUGAGUUGAUUAGUAUUACAUUCCCCUAGAAUUUUGUAGCUCGAUUCGGUGUGUGUGAGGAGAAUUGAAGACUUGAAGUUUUUAGGGUUUAAAAUUGGGGAUUUUUAUAUUUUGAUUCAAUUGACCUGUUUAGGCUUAGAAUUGGGCUUCAACUUCUUCUAAAAAGUUGUUCGAAAUGUUGAGAGGAAGAUUCUGUCAAAUUUUGGUGGUGAUUGGAGGUGGCUGAAAGUUUCUGCAUUUUUUUUUUUUCAAAAACCAGCAACUUUAGCCGACGAUAUUUAAAGGUUUAUUCGUCGGCUAUAGUAUUUUUAAAUUUUUUUAUAAGGUUUAGCCGACGAAUUAUGGCAUAUUUCGUCGGCUAUAGUUAUUUUUUUAAAUUUUUUAUAUGGUUUAGCCGACGAAUUAGACUAUAUUUCGUCCGUUAUAGUUAUUUUUUAAAAUUUUUAUAAGGUUUAGUCGACGAAACAGAUUAUAUUUCGUCGGCUAAAGUCUGGGAAAAAAAAACGACGACAUGUUUUUCAUCGGCUAAACUGUGGGACUAUAGCCGACGAAAUUUUUUUUCGUCGGCUAAAAUCAUCGCCGACGAAAUUUUAGCCGACGAAUUAAGCUAACAGGCCGACGAAACUUUUUCGUCGGCUAAAGUGUUUGUCUUGGUAGUGUUAGGAGACGGAAGUUAAAAAAUUUCGUAGCCUAAGUUCCACUUAGGAGACGAAAUACAAUUCCGAAGCCUAAGUACUCUCCUAGGCGACGGAAUAAUAUUCCGUCCUAAGUGUUACUUAGGCUACGGAAAUUUUUACUUAGGAGAAGGAAUGGUAUUCCGUCUUCUAAGUAAAGCUUAGGAGACGAAAUUUUUUUACUUAAGAGACGAAAUUAUUUUUUUUUAAAAUUUAAAAAAAUAUUAACCACUUAAGAGAUUGAAUGUUAUUCCGUUUUCUAAGUAGAGCUUAGGGGACA